GGUUGCUUGGCAACCAGAGGGUGACAGUUUGAGGAGCUCAGGGAGCUUUGACAAUGUGACUUCAAGAUAGGUGAAGGACAGUAGGAGGCACUGAGUCUGCUGAAAGGAAUCGCAACAUGGAAGCAUCAUUUAAAUAAAGAUUCAUCUCUCUGUGUGAUGAUUCUAAGGAGAUUAUUCAGGAGUGUACAAGACACACACUUAGAUAUUGGAGAAUAUUGGGUAUGCUUCCACUGAAGACAGUUGACUCCUGCCCUGGAGAUAAAUUUGUGAGGUUCUUUGUAAAGACACCAAAGGUUGAACUGUAAAACCACAGGCUUUACAAAGGGGGUGGGGAGAUUAUCACACAGAAUUAUUUUAUGGAGCUGAUGUAUUUUCAUAAAACUUUAGAAAGAGAGGAAAGGCAGAGGCCAGGGACGCAACUGGAAGAAGCAGCAGAGAUCAAAGUAUUGGGGAGGAGCUGACACGUUAUCUUUCCUUGAAUGAGAAAACUGAAGUCUUGUCUGCCUAUUGUGUUGGGUAGCCUCUAAGGGACACACAAUGAUUCCUUGUGUCCUAGAUUGGAUGGGUAGAUGUCAAUGUCAAGUGACCAGAGAAAUCCCACGAGCAAAUUUAAAGAAAUGCCAUCAUCCAGACACAAUUAUUAUAUUUAAAGCAUAGUGAAGCAAGACGUGACUAUGGCUUCCUGUAUGGGCCUGAAAAAGUGUUCCUGUUAGAAGGUUGAGAGUGAAGCUGAGAGUA
rnacentral:lncRNA from 1 species